GUCCCUACUGAACAGAUUAUUUGUUCAUCAAUUACAUAAAAGAUUAAAAGAUAAAAAUAUAAAUCAACAAUGCAAAAACACAAAAAAGAAAGGAAAAUUUUGCUUAAGAAUUGGUAGGGGCUGCGCGAACGCAAGCCCCCGCUGCAACAAAUUAUGACAUAGGCUCGACUACUUGGGCCGACCUUAGGUAGGCACCCCUCCAAAGUGCAAUGGAGGUCACAAACCUAGGCCAUAGGUCUUAUUGAUCGCCCAUUGACCCCGUCCAGGUAAGUAUAUUUCUUGUUGCUCCUUCCUAUUCUUUUAUAUUCCUCUUUAUACUUGUUUUUCUUUGUGUCAAUCGAUGAGGGAUAUAUUGCACUUCAUCUCUUUUUUUAAAAAAAAAAUUUAAUAGCAAACAAGAUAGACAACAAACAAAUCUUUUACCAUAUUCAUGGGCGAAUUAAAAUAACAUUAAAAAGCCCUUGUGAAUUUUAGUAUUGAGUAAAUCAUAACUUUCGGGGUGGUUCAAGUUCGAAAUCUCUUGCCAACAAAAGCAAAAAAUAAGAUUAAAAAGUCCUUCUUAGUUGGGGUUAGCCUAGUGGUUUGGACUUAGUACUAUAAUGUUGGAGGUCACAAGUUCGAAAUCUCUUGCCAACGAAUCAAGCUCGUCGUACCUGACUUGCCUAGUGCGGAUUACCAUGCUGUAUGGUUUGCAAGUUAUUACAUAAAAGCGUAGUGUAAGUUAUUGCAUAAAAGACUAAUACGGAUUACCUCUCUUGUGUAGUUUAUGAGCUAUUGCAUAAAAGCGGACUGUCACUAUAAUUUUACUCAAAUAAAUUAAAUUAUAAGACAAGUAACAAAAAAAAUUUGAUAGUAGUAUUGUUGGGGUCCUCUAAAGAAGAGAAUCCCUCCAAAAAUUAGCGUAUGCCACUGAUUGCAGCGUGCACACGGUAUUCUUUAGUAAAAGGCGAAAGAAUAGUUCGCUUUGUGCUCACUGCGUGGCUGCGUGAGUUCUUAGGGCUAAUCUGUGGUGCAUUUUGUUACGGGACAAAGUUUGUAUUUACACUUUUUUUAUCAAUGUGGUACUCACCUCACUCACUCCUUUUCAAUAUUGCUCUAUGCUUAUUUUUAAGUAACUUUAUGAUUGAAAAUCUAACAUGUUUUUCAAAUAGAAACUACUUAAGUUGUCUUGUUUUAUACUUUUUCGAUCAUCUAAUUUAAGAUAUGAUGUCGAUUUGGUUUCUUUUUUAUUAUAAGGAGAUAUAUUUUUAGAAGAUGAUGGAUAAGGUGUCGCGAACUGAGCAUCUUGAAUAGUUGAACUCGAAUGCAGGUUGUGUUUUUCAAAAAGUGUAUAGUGAAGGACCUAUAGAUUAUAUACUGUGGCCUUAUAAUCUAUGUUGGUCGUACUCUUUUGUAUGCUAGUACAUGUUUGAGUAGCUAGACGUCAUGCAUCACGCAUGUGUCGAAGAUCUUAGAGCUUCCGUCUAGUUUGGAUCUUUUUUGACGUGCCCAUCCGAAGGAGCCAGCAUUAUAUCGAAAUGAAAUUGAUUUCGAUAUCACUCAUGAACGCCCUGACAACUAAAAGAAAGGAUUUCUCAAACUCCUUCACUUAGCAGAUUAUGUUAAGAUCAAGCGCUUAUCAUCAUGUCAAAAGCUAUACCUGAUAGGAAAGGCGCUACUUUAUUUCUUAACUAAGUCUAACAAGCAAACAUUAUAUUCGAUCAUGACUCAGACUCAUGCCACCCAACCUCUCGUGGGCCUUGCAUUAGGUAGGAUGUUGAAAUUACUCUACAAAUUAUAUGAAUGAAAAGUGAUAAUAAAGUUGUUCAUCCGUAAAACAUAGAACUUAAGAGAGAUAUGUAAUUUACGAAUUCUGUAUAUACAAAAGAAAAAAUUUGCUUAAGAAUUGAGUAGGGGCUGCACGAACGCAAACCCCCACUACAACAAAUUAUGACAUGGGCUCAACCAUUUGUAUCGACCUUAGAUAGACACUCCUCCAAAGUGCAAUGAAGGUCACAAACCUAGGUUGUGGGUCUUAUUGAUCACCCAUCGACCCUGUCCAGGUAAGUAUAUCUCUUGUUGUUCCUUCCUAUUAUUUUAUCCCAUCUUAAUAUUUGUUUUCCUUUGUGUCACCGAUGAGGGAUAUAUAGCCCUUCAUCUUUUUGUUAUCAAUUUUUUUUCAUUUAAUAGUAAACAAAUCUUUACUGGGAGAAAUUAAAAUUAUAAUUUCUUCUGAAUUCUAACACGAGGAAAAUAUUUUUCAUGAAAAACAUUUUUGAAUCAUUGGGGUGUCUGUCAAUGUGACGGAAGUAUCAGCAUGUUGUUAGGCUAAAAUAAUCUGAAGAUAUUGUUAACAUGUUGUGAUAUUGUUAGCUAUGGAUCAAAAGCCACACGAUUUCAAUGCUCUAUUCAUAGACUCGUUAGCUUCACAUCUCUAACAAAUUUGGCAAAGUUGGUUCACCUAACACAUAAAAGGUCAAAGUUUAAUAAUCAUCAUGUUAGAACUAAUACCAAUAAAGACUCGUAGCGUAGUGGUUAUUGAGUGCAAAAGUAUAGGAGGCAUGCAAGAUUGAAUGCUUGAGUACUUUUUAAAAUCGUAGAGAGUCGUUGAAUAUCUGAACUUUAAACGUGAAGUUCCCCACCAUAACUGUUGGGAUUUAAAGGUGUAGACAUGAACUGAAGGGUUGUGACUCUCAUGAAGGAUUGUGACUUUGCCAAAGAGUUGUAACCUUUAUGAAAGGUUGUGCAUUUUCCAAAAGGUUGUCUUUUUUUCAAAAACUUGUGACUUUUACCCUUUGUUGGCUAUAAAUAGAGAGGCUUUCUGUCAUUUUUCUACAUUGAAUUAUUCCCUUCUUUUGCAUACAUUUCUUACAAAAUAAAAUUGAUCGAUCGUGUCUAUGUGUGUGAUUUGUUGCUGUCAUUUUGAGUUCGUUGAAAUUAUCGAAGUUUGAGGUACCCUAAUUCUUUAAUAGUUAAUCCGUUUUAUCUCAGGAUGAAUAAAUUUGCAAUUUCAGGUAAUUGAGGGGAUUAAAUUUUUUAAGGACACAGUUGGUUCUGUGGACUCGGAUUAGUUCUUUGUUUUUUCUUUUCGUCUUUUAUUAUUUCUGAUUAGACUGGAGAUGGACAAUCUUACUAGUUCCCCACCUGCAUUCGCACAGUCCCCCUACCCAAGAGACGAACAAAAUCUGAAACAAGAAAAUUUUUGCUUAAGAAUUGGGUAGGGACACGCGAACGCAUGCCCCCCUGCAACAAAUUGUGACGUAGGCUCGACCACUUUGGCCGACCUUAGAUAAGCAACCCUUCAAAGUGCAAUGAAGGUCACAAAUCUAGGCCAUGGGUCUUAUUGAUCACCCAUUGACCACGUCUAGGUAUGUAUGUUUCUUAAUGUUCCUUCCUAUUUUUUUUAUAACCAUCUUAAUACUCGUUUUCCUUUGUGUCAACCGAUGAGGGAUAUAUUUGUUGGAAAAAAUACUACAAUGUUGAUAUUGGACUAAAAUUAUAAAGAAGUGAAUAACUUAACACAAAUACUGUGUCAUGACAAGCCACUGUCGUGAAAACAAUUUCGGCCCAACUCCAGUGUAAAUCGUUGUAGUCGGUCGCUCCCCAAGGUUCCACAGUUACUCUCAAACACGUGUAUUCAUGGUUGAAAGUUUGGAGUUGCACAAAAACAAUUGAUCGGGUAUCCACAAUAGGGAGAAUGAUUAUUUUAGCCAAUAAAGAAAUUGGUGAAGGAGAUAGUGAAUGAAAGAAAGGACAUUUGUUUAUUUCUUCUAUGUGUUUAGCUCCCAAAUGAUAUCCUUAAAUAGGAAAAUUAUUUACAUUUUCAUCCAUUAAAAGAAUGUAAGAAACUAACGUAUAAUCUACCAAAGUAACUUCAAGUCUUCUGAAUAUUUUCUUACGAAGUUAAGAAAACUGACACUUGAGAUAAAUAUGAACCACUAAUAUGGAAGUUACUCUCCUAUUUCACAUAUACUAACGACUUAGCAAUUAUGUCCAAAUAGAUUAAUUAGAGAAAACUUAAAAGAUGUAACUUAUCCAUAGGAAUAUUAUCCACAAUAUUGCCUUUCAUCUUCUUACUAUUUUUUUGUUUCAUUUAAGUAUCAAACAAAUCUUUAUCAUAAUACUCUGGGAAAAACAUUAAAAAUAGUAUUGUUGGGGUAACUCCUAAAUAAGAGAACCCCUCCAAAAAUUGGCGUAUGCCACUAUUUGCAACGCACACACGGUAUUCUUUAGUAAAAGGCGAAAGAAUAGUUCGCUUUGUGCUCGCUGCGUGGCUGCGUGAGUUCUUAGGGCUAAUCUGUGGUGCAAUUUUAUACUCAGACAAAGUAUGUGUUUACUCCUUGUUUAUCAAUGUGGUACUCAACUCACUCUUUCUCUUUGUUUGUUUUUUUCCUUCAACGUGUUCAAUCAAACAUUGCAAAUGGUGUUUUUCAACUGAUCGAUUCGAAAAAAAGAUAACAGUUGUGUUUGUUUAAAUUGCUUCUUCUAUGGUAUAAUCUAUGUUUUUUUAGACUCUCCAAAAAUGUUGAUACACUGAACUCGUCACCUUUUUUUCAUCGAGUUGCGUAUGGAAUGUUGUAUCUUUAAAGCAAAGGUUUUUAUAUCACUCCUUAAAUCAUUGGGCUAAAACAAUCCGAAAAUACUCUUAACAUGUUGUAAUAUUGUUCGUUAGAUUCAUUAGCUGGGAAAAUUUCUCCUCAUUGUUUUUGUCCAUGUUAAUUAAAAUCUUAUAUGUUACUGGUUUUCAUGAGCCAACAUGAACAAGAAAAAAUUGCUUAAGAAUUGGUAGGGGCUGCGCGAACGCAAGACCCCACUGCAACAAAUUAUGACGUAGGCUCGACCACUUGGAUCGACCUUAGGUAGGCACCCCUCCAAAGUGCAAUGGAGGUCACAAGCCUAGGCCAUGGGUCUUACUGAUCGCCCAUCGACCCCGUCCAGGUAAGUAUGUUUCUAGUUGCUCCUUCCUAUUCUUUUAUACCCAUCUUUAUACUUGUUUUUCUUGUCUCAACCGAUGAGGGAUAUAUUGUUACUUCAUCUCUUUUUUUCUCUUUUUUUUUUCCAUUUAAUUGCAAACAAGACAAAUUAAAAUAAACAUUAAAAAGCCCUUGUGAAUUUCAGUAUUGAGUAAAUUAUAACUUUUGGGAUGGUCCAAGUUCGAAAUCUCUUGCCAACAAAAGCAAGAGAUUUGUUUUCUGGAUCGAGCUCUCGUUGUACCUAACUUUCCCUACUGCGGAUUACCUCUCCUAUCUGUGGGGGUGUCAUUAGAAAAACACAAGUAUUGAGUAAAUCACAUGAUCCGAUUUUACUGACAAAGUCUAAGUGUCUAGUUCGUACUUAUCGGAUGUGUUCCUAGACAAAAAUAUUUUUCAUGAAAAAUAUUUUUCCAUCGUACCGACCACUCAUCUCAUACAACCGUCUCUUAAUCUUAAUGUCUUUGGUUAUGUGCUUGACUAAUUCUACUAUGUGGACCAAACCAAAGACAUACAAACUAAGUACCUUAGUAGAAGCAGAGCAUCAAUAUCCUAAAAGUAUGACAGAAUGUAUCUUAUACUAUUUACGAUAAUUCAAAAGUAUAUUGUAAUUUUUUCCUAAAGAAAAGUUAAACUUGUAUUGUUGGGGCUUUCAAUAAAGAAAACCCCUCCAAAAAUUGGCGUAUGCCACUAUUUGCAACACGCACACGGUAUUCUUUAGUAAAAGGCGAAAGAAUAGUUCGCUUUGUGCUCAUUGCGUGGCUGGGUAAGUUGUUAAGCCAAUCUGUGCUGCAUUUUUAUAUUGGGAUAAAGUUAGUUUUUACUUGUAUUUUAUCAAUGUGGUACUCUCUACACUCUUUUUUUCUCUCUUCUUUUUCAUCGCUCUUUGAUCGAAAAUCAUCAUGUUUCUUCUAUACUUUUAUUGUUCGAUUAAUUUAAGAUUUGUUUUCACUUCAUUUUCUUGGUGAUUCAGGAGAAAUAUAUGGUCACAAGUUAACUGAUGAAACGUCGCGUUAGGAUGUUUUGUACUUAGUACUCUUGAAUACUUGAAUUAUAGUCUGAAUUUUUGUUAAGGACAAUCAAAAUUCGAAAGAAAUCAACAAAUGAAUAAGCCAAGAGAAUUCAUCGCCUAUCAUACCCUUACUCUAUAAGUAUUUACGUUUUCAUCCAUUAAAAGAAUAUAAGAAACUAAUGUAUAAUCAACGUUUUUCAUUACCCUUACUCUAUAAGUAACAAAUUUGUUAUCAUACAAAAAUAAUUUCAAGUCCUCUAAAUAUUUUUCUUACAGAGUAAAGAAAUUGACACUUGAGAUAAAUAUUAACCAGUAAUGUGGAAGUUACUCUCCUAUUUCACAUAUACAAAACGACUUGACAAUGUUCACAUAGAUUAAUUACCUUUGCAUUAAAAAGAAAAGGAAUAUUUUCCACAAUAUUGUCAUUCAUCUUCUUAUUAUUUUUUGUUUCAUUUAUAUAUCAAACAAAUCUUUAUCAUACUCUUGCAUGGGAAAAUUAAACUUAACUACAAAAGUUUUUAAACUUAUAGGGUGUUUUUGGUACAAAGGAAAACAUUAAAACUAGUAUUGUUGGGGUCCUCUAGAGAAGAGAAUCCCUCCAAAAAUUGGCGUAUACCAUUGAUUGCAACGCGCGCGCACUGUAUUCUUUAGCUAAAACACUUCGAAGAUAUUCUUGACAUGUUGUGAUAUUGUUUGACUCAUUAGUUCCGUAGCUCGAGAAAAUUUCUCAUCAUGUAAAUAAUUAAUGAUACAAUUACAUAAAAGCUCAAAGAUACAAAAUAUAAAUCAACAAUGCGAAAACACACACAAAAAGAUUUGCUUUAAAUAUUGGUAGGGGCUGCGCGAACGCAAGCCCCCGCUGCAACAAAUUAUGACGUAGGCUCGACCACUUGGAUCGACCUUAGGUAGGCACCCCUCCUAAGUGCAAUGGAGGUCACAAACCUAGGUCAUGGGUCUUAUUGAUCGCCCAUUGACCUCGUCCAGGUAAGUAUGUUUCAUAUUGUUCCUUCCUAUUCUUUUAUACCCAUAUUUAUACUUGUUUUCUUUGUGUCAAUCGAUGAGGGAUAUAUUGCCCUUCAUCUCUUUCUUUUUUUUUUCAUUUUAUUAGCAAAUAAUUAUUUACCAUACCCAUGGGAAACUUAAAAUAAGAUUAAGAAAGCCCUAGUGAAUUUUAGUAUUGAGUAAAUCAUACCUUUCGGGGUGGCCUAGUAGUUUGGGCUUGAGACUUUUAUGUUGGAGGUUUCAAGUUCAAAAUCCUUCCCCUUGCCGGCGAUAGUAGAGUUUGCCUUGUGGGUCGAGCUCGUGGCGCUGGAAUGGCCUAGUAUGGGUUACAUCUCUUGUGUGAUUUAUGAGAAAUUGCAUAGAAGCAAGGUAUGGGGGUUUAUCUGUUACGUACCCAAAGUACCGGCUACGAAUUUUCCUUGUCAUUAAAAGAAAAGUAUCGAGUAAAAGACAGUCAAGUAUGUAGUUGUACUGAGAUUAAAGGUGCUAGUGUAGAAACUGAUGUUAACAAAAAUCUAUGCUUUACUACAAAAGUUGCUUUAACUUAUGUGUUCUUUGACCGAAAAUAUUUUUCAUGAAAAACAUUUCAUACUGAAUGUACGAACAUUUUCAUAAUGUUAUUUUCUCUUACUGAAUGUACGAACAUUUUCAUAAUGUUAUUUUCUCUUACUGAAUGUACGAACAUUUUCAUAAUGUUAUUUUCUCUUUUUCAUCUUCUUUGUGGCCUAUACACACUUCGACUACUUCUACAAUGUUCACCAAACCAAAAGAAACAAAUACUACAAUGUUCACCAAACCAAAAGAAACAAAUACAAACUACGUACCUUAGUAAAAGCAAUUUAAAUUUGAAUUUUUUGUAUUGUAACUCAAAUUUUGCUCAUACAUAAUACUAUAAAUUAUAUUAUAAGACAUACAAAAAAAUUUAAAACUAGUAUUGUUGGGACUUUCAAUGAAGAGAACCCCUCCAAAAAUUGGCGUAUGCCACUAUUUGCAACGCACACACGGUAUUCUUUAGUAAAAGGCGAAAGAAUAGUUCGCUUUGUGCUCACUGCGUG
rnacentral:lncRNA from 1 species